GAUAAAUUUGCACAGGGACAGAUGCUCAGGGGAAAGGAAAGAGCUCUGCCUUGCACUUGUACAGAAAGGAAACAAGGCAGCAGAGGCAAGACCAAUGGAGAGUACGGCAGCAAGACAGAAAGGGGCAGAAGGCGACAGAACAUGCACGCUGGGGACAUGGAAAUUUCUAGAAAGAAGGCGCAAGCAGAAACAGGACACCGGCGAUAAAAAGUUCCCUUUGUAACCAGACCAGCUGAGACCAGUUACAAAGCCUACCCCAGGUAUCCGACCAGAUGACUUCAAAAAGACCUCAGGCUUCAUUAUAAUCUAAUUUCCAUGCUAAAUGACACUUCCACCAGUGUCAUGACGGUUGCCAGUCCCCGUGACAAUGACCAGAAGGAGCCAUAAAAGGACAAAAACAAGGGAGCCCCUCAUUCCAAGAAGUGUACCGCCCAGUUCCAGAAAAGACAUGGAUAUUCCUCCUCUUGCUUUUAAUGUCCAGCCAUCAUUAAGGAAACCCUAUAUGAUAACCCCCUCACCCCUCACUAAUUGAGAAGUUGAUUUGUGAGCCAAGCUCCCGCUUCUCAAUUCCAUGGCCAUCG
rnacentral:lncRNA from 10 species